rnacentral:rRNA from 1 species
ACGGAGGGUGCAAGCGUUGUUCGGAAUUAUUGGGCGUAAAGGGCGCGUAGGCGGUAAGGUAAGUCAGAUGUGAAAUCCUUCGGCUCAACUGAAGAACUGCAUCUGAAACUGGAUAACUAGAGUACAGAAGAGGGAAACGGAAUUCCCGGUGUAGAGGUGAAAUUCGUAGAUAUCAGGAGGAACACCGAUGGCGAAGGCGGUUUCCUGGACUGUUACUGACGCUGAGGCGCGAAAGUGUGGGGAGCAAACAG